AAUCGAAAACGAGGCUGGCCUUCUACUCUUCUCUCGCAUACCAAAACGAACGCCGGUGUACAGCGCGCGUAAAAUACAUUUCGUUCUCCGGAAAAUAGAACGCCGCCAUUUUUAAACGUUUCUUUCCAUUUGCAAGAAUUUUGCAAGAUUAUUACAGAACGGAUUAAAGCGGAUUAUCAGUUAAUGAGGUGCGCAAAAAUUUUUUGUCUGAGAAAUUUAGCGCGCUAAAAUAUGUAGGCAGCUGGCGCGGUUUAUAUGGCGCGCUUUUUUUUUCUCGUAACAAAGAGCGCGUAGUAGUAUUGUAAAAUGAAAUGCAUUCCAUGCAUUUAUUUAAUGUAUGGGAAGUUGUGCUAAGAAUUGGUGUACGAUUAUAUGUAUAGUGGAAGACAGACAAGAAUCUUCGAUUUUAUCGAUUGACCUAGUUUCUCGCAUAGGUCUAGUAAUAGCGGGUUCUGUACGUCCACUGGGGUUUCUAGGUAAAUUUCGAACUGGGUCACUGAGACUGAUGAUUUGGAUAUACAAUCUUCUGCUGGAUACUCUAUAGGUCAAUUGCAAAAACUCAUUUCUCAUCUAUAUAACCUGAUUAUUAGAAGAAAUUCAACUUAAAAAGAGAUUGAAUAGUAUCAAGCAAAUAAAGAUCACAAUCAAAAGAAUCGAUGUUGAUGUACUGAAAAAUAUAGACAGAUUCAACACGCCGAUAUCCUUUAAUAGGAGAACGCUUUCAGAUGCCGGCCAAACAGUCCCGUAUGCUCUCUCCGGCCGUCGCUUGUAAUGCCGAUGACCAUCCUUUAAAGAACAUUGAUGACGAAAUGCCACCCACCUCCACUACUGAACAUUCCUAUGCCAUUCAACAAUGUUCUGGGGACAACGGUACUGGAGGAGGAACGGGCAACGGGCUAUUAACUAUUGGCGAUACAGAUGAAAUUGACGUUGUAAAUGAAACUACAACUCACACAUCUCAGCAACUGGUUGCUCGAUGGCAAAAUUCUCAGAAUUAUCAUCCAGCGACAGAUCAUGAUUAUGUUGCGUUUUCUCAAUUUUCAGCCGUUGUACAAAGCGAUAUUAUUUCAAGAAUUGAAGCUGUCCCAAACAUAAGAAUGACAAGAAAAAAGAAAGCUAAACCAGUCAUACCUCUAGAAACAGACUUUUCUACUGAAACUAUUAAGGCUUCUUCCGAAGAUACUGAAACUGACACAAUGUACGGACUUAAAGUUGAUAAUGAAACAAGCGCAGCACUUGGUUGGAAAGCUGUUGAUAAAAAGAAAAAACAAUCUAAAAAAUCUGACAAUGGGGGUAAUAGCGUGGGAACAAGCAGCAAUGAUAAGAAUUUUGUCAAAAUUCAGGGUGCAUAUCAGGAUGACUUUGUUUACUUCGCUCCGAAAAUUAGUGGGUCAAGAGCUAGGACUAGGUCUCGGACCGAAGCAGCGCAACCUACAAAUCAACAACCUAAUGUCUUAGAUUGGUAUAGGGACCUGGCUAACACUGAUAAAACUGCCAGGUUUGGAGGUGCCCCUUCUGAAGAGGAAGUCGUUGAUAUGGUCGCCAGCAUGCAAGAAGAACAAGCUAUUCAAUCUGAGGACUUGGAUAAAAUGGCUGAAAAUUUAACUUCAAUGCUGUGCUCUCUAAAUAAUGAAGAACUCGAGAAAGAGCUCGAACGCGUUGGUCUUCCCUCAAAAACAACAAAUCCAGAGGAGGAGGCUCCACAGUUAACAACAGUAACAAUGUACUACAACGACGUUCCAGGACUAAUGCUAGCCGGUGAACAAUAUGUUAGACUAGUGGACAUUCACAAACAAAUGCUACCUAGUAAGGAUACCGGUAUUUUGAAAAAGCGUGCACAACUUCUCUCACUUCCUCUUUUAAACUGUUCGGAUAUGCAGAGGAAUUUCUUACAGCGUUAUGCCAAUGCUGCAAGAUCUAAGUCAACUCUCGUUAUAUCCAAGCAAAAUGCAGUUAAGCUAAUAGCUUUCUAUGUGGAGCCUCGACAGCGAUCUGUUACAGACGAAAAUUCUACGACUGGAACAGACUCUCGAUCAGGAUCUCGCAAAAGACGAAAAACAGAUGAAAACGAAGACGACUUUGUAAGGGUUGUUACUACCCGUAACUCGACAAGGUCACGUGGUCAAUUGGGUAGAUUGUUUGUAUAUAAAAUGGAGAAGAAAGAUUCAUCUUGUGUACAGUGCGAAACUUGCGGUGAAACGUUAACAUUACGAAAAUUCGCUAAACACGUUCACCACCAACAUUCUGCAGACGAACUUUUGGACAUUUCUGUUCCUUUAAAGAUUGUUUUGGCCAAUGGUCAUCCUACUUCAGGGGAACUGGUGAAAUGGAAGAUAUUUGAAGAGAAAAGUAAGGAGCUAGAAACUAAAACUUCACCAUCACCAUUGCCACCGUCAUCAUCUCCCCCGUCUUCGCCGAGACAAUCGGCGAGAAACCGGAAACGAAAACAAUUGCAUCCGGUUGAAAGUUAUGUGUUCACGCCGACUAAACGAAGUCCGCCGAAAAGGGCUAGGUCUUCGCAGAGAACUGCUUAG
rnacentral:misc_RNA from 1 species